GACAGAGGUCCCGAGCGUUAGGCGGAAUCACUGGGCUUAAAGCGUGUGUAGGCGGAGUGCUAAGUACCUUGUGAAAUCCCACGGCUUAACCGUGGAACUGCUGGGUAUACUGGUUCUCUUGGGCCACUUUAGGGGGUUACCGGAACAAACGGUGGAGCGGUGAAAUGCGUAGAUAUCUGGAGGAACACCGGUGGCGAAGGCGGCAUCCUGGACCGGCAUUGACGCUGAGGAGCGAAAGCCAGGGGAGCGAACGGG
rnacentral:rRNA from 1 species